UUUUUUGUUUCUCAAGUGCCCCACGAAAGCUGGGAUGCUUUUCCAUUAAUCCACGGGAAGUGGAAUGAUUUUCUGUUCCACCACGAAAACUAGGGUGUUUUUCCAUCACUUUCUGUUUAAAACUCUGCUGUUUCUCCAUUGUUCGUACCUUAAAACUGCUCUGUUUCUCCAUCUUCAUGCACAAUCCCUUACUGAAUUAUCAAUGAAUUUCAGAAAGUAAUCACUUCUUUAUAAAAUGAAAUCCUGAUUCUGUGAAUUAGAAAACCCAGAAAUUAUUCCUGCUUCUCCAUGAUCAUACACAAAGAGCCAUUAAAAAAAAUCAGCACAUCAUAAUAAGAGAUAACUUCCUUCACACCUGAAAUCUCAAUUCUUAGAUUUCAAAGCCAUGAAAAUCGCAGUAACAUUAUCAAGCAUGAAUCCACAGGCAUCUAAGGACAUCCUAACACUUCCCAUACUUGAAAACCCAAUUCUCAAAACUUACAAGAGACAGUCGCCGGCAAUCUCAAGAAGAAAUUUCGAUUUUUCCAUUUUCUCUCUAUGUCUAAGUGUUAUCCGCAGCAGAUUCCAAAACUCUUUAUCACAAAGAAGCUGGCAAUUAAUCAAACACUAAAAGGAAAAAAAAAAA
rnacentral:misc_RNA from 1 species